GACGAACGCUGGCGGCGUGCUUAACACAUGCAAGUCGAGCGAUGAAGUUCCUUCGGGAAUGGAUUAGCGGCGGACGGGUGAGUAACACGUGGGUAACCUGCCUCAUAGAGGGGAAUAGCCUUCCGAAAGGAAGAUUAAUACCGCAUAAGAUUGUAGUUUCGCAUGAAACAGCAAUUAAAGGAGCAAUCCGCUAUGAGAUGGACCCGCGUCGCAUUAGCUAGUUGGUGAGGUAACGGCUCACCAAGGCGACGAUGCGUAGCCGACCUGAGAGGGUGAUCGGCCACAUUGGGACUGAGACACGGCCCAGACUCCUACGGGAGGCAGCAGUGGGGAAUAUUGCACAAUGGGGGAAACCUUGAUGCAGCAACGCCGCGUGAGUGAUGACGGUCUUCGGAUUGUAAAACUCUGUCUUCAGGGACGAUAAUGACGGUACCUGAGGAGGAAGCCGCGGCUAACUACGUGCCAGCCGCCGCCGUAAGAC
rnacentral:rRNA from 1 species